rnacentral:lncRNA from 1 species
UAGCUUCCUUAUUUUAUUGAUGGAGAUGUCAAGUUAACUCAGAGCAAUGCUAUCAUUCAAUAUAUUGCUAGAAAGAAUAAUAUGGGUAAACA